CAUUACACAAGUUAUCGUUUAUUUGAUAGUACCUUACUACUUGGAUAACCGUGGUAAUUCUAGAGCUAAUACAUGCUGAAAAUCCCGACUCCGGAAGGGAUGUAUUUAUUAGAUUCAAAGCCAAUGCCCCCCGGGCUCACUGGUGAUUCAUGAUAACUGCUCGAAUCGCACGGCCUUGCGCCGGCGAUGGUUCAUUCAAAUUUCUUCCCUAUCAACUUUCGAUGUUUGGGUAGUGGCCAAACAUGGUUGCAACGGGUAACGGAGGGUUAGGGCUCGACCCCGGAGAAGGAGCCUGAGAAACGGCUACUACAUCCAAGGAAGGCAGCAGGCGCGCAAAUUACCCAAUCCCGACACGGGGAGGUAGUGACAAUAAAUACUGAUACAGGGCUCUUUUGGGUCUUGUAAUUGGAAUGAGUACAAUUUAAAUCCCUUAACGAGGAACAAUUGGAGGGCAAGUCUGGUGCCAGCAGCCGCGGUAAUUCCAGCUCCAAUAGCGUAUAUUAAAGUUGUUGUGGUUAAAAAGCUCGUAGUUGAACCUUGGGCCUGGCUGGCCGGUCCGCCUCACCGCGUGCACUGGUCCGGCCGGGCCUUUCCCUCUGUGGAACCCCAUGCCCUUCGCUGGGCGU
rnacentral:rRNA from 1 species